UACGUAGGGGGCAAGCGUUGUCCGGAAUCAUUGGGCGUAAAGAGCGUGUAGGCGGUCCGGUAAGUCGGCUGUGAAAGUCCAGGGCUCAACCCUGGGAUGCCGGUCGAUACUGCCGGACUAGAGUUCGGAAGAGGCGAGUGAAAUUCCCGGUGUAGCGGUGAAAUGCGCAGAUAUCGGGAGGAACACCUAUGGCGAAGGCAGCUCGCUGGGACGUUACUGACGCUGAGACGCGAAAGCGUGGGGAGCAAACAGG
rnacentral:rRNA from 1 species